rnacentral:rRNA from 1 species
ACUUGGAGGUGUGCCCUUGAGGAAGGUUCCGGAGCUAACGCGUUAAGCGACCGCCUGGAGAGUACGGCCGCAAGAGAAAACUCAAAUGAAUUGACGGGGGCCCGCACAAGCCGAGGAGCAUGUGGUUUAAUUCGAUACAACGCGAAGAACCUUACCUACUCUUGACAUCCAGAGAACUUAGCAGAGAUGCUUUGGGGCCUUCGGGAACUCUGAGACAGGGGCUGCAUGGUUGUCGUCAGAUCGUGUUGUGAAAUGCUGGAGUAAGUCCCGCAACGAGCGCAACCCUUAUCC